GAUGCAGCUCCUAUUCACGCAGCGCAGGCGAGGAAGAGAGGAGGUUGCGGUCCGCAGGCGGCUGCGGAACCGGAGGCCGCAGCCGGAUCGCCGGAAUUUGGCGCCUGUUUUUUGUUGGUUGGGUGUUCUCGCCUGUGAUUGGGCCCCGGCCCCGCGUCGGUGAGCCCGGCUGCUGCUGGUCGGCCGACCUUGGCAGGACCCCGGCGGCGCUGUAGUCGGCUGGCCUCCCGGGGGAUGGGCCACCAGGAGCCCCCGCUGGCCCGAGUGCGGGCCGGACGUGCGGCUUAUAUAAAAAGGUUACGUAAAGGGCUCAGCUGGCGCGAACACGUGGAGAGCCGCGGGAGCCCUGACGCCCAGCUGUCCCCCGAGAGUACCGCUCCCGUCACCCGUGCAGCAGCGGGUUCCGUCGCACAUCCGACCCGGGCCACGGUCUCUCGCGCGGCUAGGUACCCGAAGCAGCCCUGGCCCGGAGCGGACCAUCCCCAGCUGGGGGCCUUUGGGGGGAAACGCGCUGCCCGGAAGUGGAAGGGCGCAGGCCAGGUCACAAUCCAGGGUCCCACUCCUCCGCGUCCCGGGGCCGGACGGAGGGAUGAGGCAGGGGGGUCCCGGGCAGCGCCGUUGCUGCUCCCCCCGCCGCCCGCAGCCAUGGAAACGGGGGAGGAGGACGGCGCCCGCAGAGGUACACAAAGCCCCGAGCGGAAAAGGCGAAGCCCAGUGCCGCGGGCGCUCAGCGCGAAGCUGAGGCCGGCGGCGGUGGCCCAGGCCAUGGAUCCGGUGGCGGCCGAGGCCCCGGGCGAGGCCUACCUGGCGCGGCGGCGGCCGGAGGGCGGCGGCGGGUCGGCGCGGCCGCGCUACAGCCUUUUGGCGGAGAUCGGGCGCGGCAGCUACGGCGUGGUGUACGAGGCAGUGGCCGGGCGCAGCGGGGCCCGGGUGGCGGUCAAGAAGAUCCGCUGCGACGCCCCCGAGAACGUGGAGCUGGCGCUGGCCGAAUUCUGGGCCCUGACCAGCCUCAAGCGGCGCCACCAAAACGUCGUGCAGUUUGAGGAGUGCGUCCUGCAGCGCAACGGGCUAGCCCAGCGCAUGAGCCAUGGCAACAAGAGCUCGCAGCUUUACCUGCGCCUGGUGGAAACCUCGCUCAAAGGAGAAAGGAUCCUGGGUUAUGCUGAGGAGCCCUGCUAUCUCUGGUUUGUCAUGGAGUUCUGUGAAGGUGGAGACCUGAAUCAGUAUGUCCUGUCCCGGAGGCCGGACCCAGCCACCAACAAGAGCUUCAUGCUACAGCUCACGAGCGCCAUUGCCUUCCUGCACAAAAACCACAUCGUGCACAGGGACCUAAAGCCAGACAACAUCCUCAUCACAGAGCGGUCUGGCACCCCCAUCCUCAAGGUGGCAGACUUUGGACUAAGCAAGGUCUGUGCUGGGCUGGCCCCCCGAGGUAAAGAGGGCAAUCAAGACAACAAAAAUGUGAAUGUGAAUAAAUACUGGCUGUCCUCAGCCUGCGGCUCAGACUUCUACAUGGCCCCUGAAGUCUGGGAGGGACACUACACAGCCAAGGCUGACAUCUUUGCCCUGGGCAUUAUCAUCUGGGCAAUGAUAGAAAGAAUCACUUUCAUUGACUCUGAGACCAAGAAGGAGCUCCUGGGGACCUAUAUCAAACAGGGGACUGAGAUCGUCCCUGUUGGUGAGGCGCUGCUAGAAAACCCAAAGAUGGAGUUGCACAUCCCCCAGAAACGCAGGACUUCCAUGUCUGAGGGGAUCAAGCAGCUCUUGAAAGAUAUGUUAGCUGCUAACCCACAGGACCGGCCUGAUGCCUUUGAACUUGAAACCAGAAUGGACCAGGUCACAUGUGCUGCUUAAAAUUCAGGGCAAAGCAUCUUGGGUGUUUUUAAACUAGGUUGAUCCUCGGGACCCACAGUCUCAUCAUGUCUCGCACAGAGGACGGCAGAGGGUACAGGCGGUGGCUUGGCCGGUUGGCGAUCUCCCAACAGCUGAAUCUCCAGCAUUAAGCUGGUAAUCUAGGACCUACGUGUGAACAACUUUAUAUAUGAAUAUUUUUUGUACUUGGUUUACUUGGGUUGCUAUGAUACAUUAUAUUUAAGUUCCUUGAACACUGUGGAUCCCCCUAAUGUGUAUGAAUGACUGAGGCUUUGUAAAUUAAGGGACGUUUGUGUGAAUAAAGUUAUUUGAUGGGGUCAAAGAAGCCAUACGUG